UACAGAGGUCUCAAGCGUUGUUCGGAUUCAUUGGGCGUAAAGGGUGCGUAGGUGGCGCUGUAAGUCGGGUGUGAAAUUUCGGAGCUUAACUCCGAAACUGCAUUCGAUACUGCGGUGCUCGAGGACUGGAGAGGAGACUGGAAUUCACGGUGUAGCAGUGAAAUGCGUAGAUAUCGUGAGGAAGAACCGGUGGCGAAGGCGGGUCUCUGGACAGUUCCUGACGCUGAGGCACGAAGGCCAGGGGAGCAAACGGG
rnacentral:rRNA from 1 species